rnacentral:rRNA from 1 species
GACGAACGCUGGCGGCGUGCUUAACACAUGCAAGUCGAACGGAAAGGCUCCAGCUUGCUGGAGUGCUCGAGUGGCGAACGGGUGAGUAACACGUGGGCAAUCUGCCCUGCACUCUGGGAUAAGCCUGGGAAACUGGGUCUAAUACCGGAUAGGACCUUUCUCCUCAUGGGGUUUGGUGGAAAGUUUUGCGGUGCAGGAUGAGCCCGCGGCCUAUCAGCUUGUUGGUGGGGUAAUGGCCUACCAAGGCGACGACGGGUAGCCGGCCUGAGAGGGUGAUCGGCCACAUUGGGCCUGAGAUACGGCCCAGACUCCUACGGGAGGCAGCAGUGGGGAAUAUUGCACAAUGGGCGAAAGCCUGAUGCAGCGACGCCGCGUGAGGGAUGACGGCCUUCGGGUUGUAAACCUCUUUCAGUAGGGACGAAGCGCAAGUGACGGUACCUGCAGAAGAAGCACCGGCUAACUACGUG